CGCAUCUAAAAGGUGGAUGUUCCUUCUAUGCUUACAGGAUUUAUGGUUAAUCAUAGAGGAAAAUCCACAUUGUCAGUAUC
rnacentral:pre_miRNA from 8 species